CUAAGAGAGGGCGCCCAGAAACUGACAGCGGAGCCGUGUACACCGUAUAUACCGCUCAUACAUCACAGUAUACAGCUAGCGGGACAGCUGUGUAUAUAGGGUGUAUAUUAUACAGCUAUAUACAGUGUUAUACUGAGCAGGAAAAAACAGAGGUAGCACAUGGCAUUUGUACAGAUGACUUUGAAAUAAUGGCGGCUCAGAGGCUUUGAAGUACAGUAAAAUGCAAUGUUCAGAAAAAUGUGGCGCUGUACGGCUGGAGCCAAUCUUUAAGGCAACAGAAAAACGAAUACAAUAAAUAAUGGAAGCCAGGGGACUGGAGGAAUUAAAAGGAUACUGCAACAUCAGGCUUUAUGCAUUAUCACAUCCCAGGCCUUGUUAGACCUCCCGGUGACCCUGCCUCGGGCACAGGUGAUUGACAGGUCUGCGCGCACUUCACAAAUCUCCUGAUUUAUCUACAAGGAUUCUAAGCUUGUGGAAGCAAGAAGCGAUUUUAUUAGCGUUUAAGUGGCAAAUCACUCAAUCUGGAUUUCUCAUCACAGAUACAUACAAAUGAGGCCUUGAAUGUCAUUUUCCUGCUCAUUUUACAACUAAUAUGACCUCUGCAUAUGGGAACUAAGAUGUAUUCUGUGACUCGAACAAAUAAUCCGUCAUAAAAUGAAAUACAUAAAAAUUUCAUCUAAAUAAUUCUCCAUAAUACAAUAAAACUGAAGAAUAUCCCCAGACAGGACCUGAUGGAGGGAUAAGACAGGUCUGCCUCAUCGAGCCUUGUAGAAUAAUAAUAACCUAUAUAUAUUACCAAACAGUGGUAUGGCUAAUCUGAGAACCACUACCAUAUGGUCACUAUAUACACUAACACCAAAAAAAAAAGACCAUACUGAUAUAUUUGUAAUGAAAAAGGACAAACGUCUUUAUUGAGAUAUCACAAAAUCUAAAAACAUGUUAUAAAAAACAUAUACAAAGAGUGGGUACAACAGAUGCUCAGGCAGAAGAGAAGGAGACGAUGGCGCUAAUACAUAAAAUGCCAACAGGCAGACAAAAGAGAAAUAUGAGGACAAUUCCUAGACUGGGUACAUUUUAAUAGUACCGUAUAUACUCGAGUAUAAGCUGACCCGAAUAUAAGCCGAGGCCCCUAAUUUCACCCCAAAAUCCCAGAAAAAGUUA